GGCUCGUUGGUCAAGCGGUCAAGACUCCGGCCUCUCACGCCGGCAACGCGGGUUCGAUUCCCGCACGAGUCACCA
rnacentral:tRNA from 1 species